rnacentral:tRNA from 1 species
UGAGUAUUAGUCUAAUUAAGACAGUUAAUUUCGACUUAACAAAUUUGGCCUACUAGCCAAAUACUCAU